GUCGGGCACCGGCGGCUCGACGCGAGGGGGACCUCCAGGUCCCUGCCGGGAACAGCGACAACAGGCGGCAGGGGUUGUGGCCGGCGACGGUGCACAGUAGCAUUGCGGGCGCGGAGCAGAGCACGCGGGAAUGAAGGUAUCAGCGAGAAGCUGCAGGGCAAGCCGGUGAGGGAGAACGGAGAGGCGGGCCAUGGCAUGGCGGUGCUGGCGGGGGCCUCGGGUUCCUGGAGCUG
rnacentral:lncRNA from 1 species